rnacentral:misc_RNA from 1 species
CAGGGCCAAGUUUUACUUGUAGUUUUUACUGUAUUUUUUUGUAGUGUUUUAGGAUAGGAGUAGGUCCCCUGAAUAAAUCACCCCUUUUAUUAGAUGUCCCCUACCCUUUCAUAGAAGUGUGUACCCCUGAUUAGCUUUCCCCAGUAACAGUUCACAUUGUAUGUAAAUUGUUCCCAUGCCAUUGGUUCCCCCUGUCUCAAGACCAUGUGCCCUGCCCACCCUGUAAGACCACAGACCCCUCAUGAUCAGUAGCAGACCAGCGGCAGUAGAGAGAGGGCCGUGCAUUUUAUUACCUCUCUUUCCCCCUUGAUUUUCUUGGGUGCGCUUUGCCCUGUGUGAGAGUUUAUCUGCUCGAGUUAUUGGUGAGUUCUGAUAUAUGUUUUUUGUAUUUUCUCAUUAAGUGUAUUAUUAAGUUUUUUUAGAAGUUUUGAUCUGUUUUGGUAUUGUUCAGAGUUUUGACAAUCAAGUUUUAUAGAAUUCCUGAACAGCCUUGUAAGUUGUAGGAAUUAUCACUUGAAGUUUUGAGAUUGGGUUUAUUUAGAAAUUACUUGCAGAAAGUUAGCUUGUAUUGUUUGAUUUUGAUUGAUCAGGAUCAUUAGACAUGUUAGAGUUCUGUUAUUUUCGAGGAAAACUGUGUUGUCAGAAGUUUGAUUUAUUUCAUUGACUUAAUUUCCGAGGAAUGACUUGGAUAGAUGCAUUGCAUUGCCUUUUUCUUUUGACAUCUGAUUUCAGUAUUUUGGAUGGUGUUUUCUUCAUUACCUUUAUUGUUUUAUUGUACAUGUAUAAAGCCAAGAGGAGUGGUUUUCCCACAGACUUCUUACUGAUUAGUUUGCCAUGUUUAUUCAUUAGUUAGACUUGUCCAAGCUGUUCAUUUACUGUAGACUUGCAUUUCCUUUAUUUUGUAUUUAGCCACCUGUUUCAUUUAGUUAUUCUUAUCUGCUUUGGACCUGUGCAAGUUUACUAUUCAAGAAUGUUGAAUUACCCCCUUGGUGAUUAGUCCCACCUGGCAUUCAGAAGACAGGGACCACUGUUUAUCUUGCUCAUUAGGUAUUCACGAGAAAUUGUAGUGUUCUUGGCAAGAGUGUAUAGUAGUUCCACAUGGCAUUGUUUAUAUUACUUUAGACCUAGUGUAGCUUGAGUUGUUUGCAUUGUUUACUGUUUUUUAUUAUGUUCUUUACUCUCUUAUCUUGUUUUACAGAUUUUCUGCCAGAAGUGUCUUUAAGGUCUACUAAUAUACACACUGUGUUGGUUUGAGUCUUUGGUUUUAGGUUUAAGUUUUUGGUCUUCAUCUUUUGUUUUGAUUUUGAUUUGAAGUUCUUGUAAAUAAAUUCCUUUUGUCUUUUUUUGUUCGAAAUCUAGAAUUGUUUCCCUUGUCCCUAUUAAUUCAGUCUCCUCGCGCCUUUUCUCUUCAAAGAUCCUGAGUUUAGUUUGGUUAGAAUCCCCAUAGUUGUAUUAGUUUUCGCGAGUUCCCCAGGUGUGUCAUUUUUCCAGGUUACAUUUUUUUCUAUUUUUGGUGGAAGAUCCGGGUAGGGAAUAUAUUUUUUUAGUAAAAUUUAGCCAGGAAUUGUUUUGAUAGGGACGACAGGCAUUUUUUCAAAGGUUUUUUUCUGUCUUUGGUGGUCAGUUUAGAUAAGUCAAGUAACAGAGUCUAUAAACCAACACAGUGUUGUUAUAUUGGUGGAUCGGACAAGUACAUGAUGGUGGAUGUCAGGACUCCACUCCAGCUCUGUGGUUUCGACCCAGUACCUGCUGAAACCUGCAACCUUGAAGUCCCUGAUGUGCAGCCGCAGUCUGAGAUGCUGAGACUCCUGCAGCACCAGUCCAGUAUGCAAGAGGUUAUUCUGCAGCAAUUUCGGCAGAUAAACGCACUCAAGGAGAUGAUGCGGCAGGUGAUGGGCGAACAGAUGAGGCAGAGAUGCUACAUACAUAGUCUGGAGUGCGCCCUGUCAGAUGUUAAGGUGAAUCAGCGUCCCCCAAAUCAGCCAGUUCCAGAAGUCCCCAUCCCACAUCGGCCAGUACCGAAAACCCCCAACCCGCAGCCAGUGCACGAAGUCCCUAAGCCCAUCCCCCAGCCAGCGCCAGAAACACACGCAAGCACCCCUGAUGAGGCGACACAGGCCAGCUCUCAGGGAGGUAUGAGUUCCGAAAGGAUAAGCCUCAGGGAAGCUCAGCUGAAAGAUCCCGCAAUCAGGCGGGUUGUUGAGCUCAAGACGGCAAGCCCCCUGAUGACAAGGAGGCAAAUGUCCCAAGAAACCAGAGUGGUGCAGAAGUUGCUAGGAGUAUGGCGUCGACUAGAGGUGAAGGGAGGACUUCUGAUGUACAAGAAGGGCGGCGGGAAGGCUACAUGUAGAUACCUGGCAGUGCUUCCCCGACAGCAGAGAGAGGAAGUGUUUCAUAGUCUCCACGGAAGCAUGGACAAGUUCGGCUAUGGAAGAAUCCUGAAGCUUGUCAAGGACAGGUAUUAUUGGCCUAGUCUUCAUAAUGAAGCAAUGGCAUACAUGAGGUGUCAUCGCAGGGGCGUACAGCGAAACGGGAGGGAAGCGUCCGGUGAGAUCUCACCGCCUCCAGAGUUCCGGGAUGACAGAGGACCCUGAUCACUGUAUUUUUGUCUAGUUUAAAUUUGUGGUUGACUUAAAUGUCCUCAAUAAUGUAUUGAAGCGUAUUGUGUAUUUUAGCAUUUUGUUUGUUUGUUUUAAUCAUGUUUAAUUGAAUUAAGUUGAUUUUUAUUGCCAUUGCUGGGGACAGCAAUAUUUUAAAGAUGGCGUGAGUGUGGCAGGGCCAAGUUUUACUUGUAGUUUUUACUGUAUUUUUUUGUAGUGUUUUAGGAUAGGAGUAGGUCCCCUGAAUAAAUCACCCCUUUUAUUAGAUGUCCCCUACCCUUUCAUAGAAGUGUGUACCCCUGAUUAGCUUUCCCCAGUAACAGUUCACAUUGUAUGUAAAUUGUUCCCAUGCCAUUGGUUCCCCCUGUCUCAAGACCAUGUGCCCUGCCCACCCUGUAAGACCACAGACCCCUCAUGAUCAGUAGCAGACCAGCGGCAGUAGAGAGAGGACCGUGCAUUUUAUUACCUCUCUUUCCCCCUUGAUUUUCUUGGGUGCGCUUUGCCCUGUGUGAGAGUUUAUCUGCUCGAGUUAUUGAUUUUCUGCCAGAAGUGUCUUUAAGGUCUACUAAUAUACACACUGUGUUGGUUUGAGUCUUUGGUUUUAGGUUUAAGUUUUUGGUCUUCAUCUUUUGUUUUGAUUUUGAUUUGAAGUUCUUGUAAAUAAAUUCCUUUUGUCUUUUUUUGUUCGAAAUCUAGAA